GACGAACGCUGGCGGCGUGCUUAACACAUGCAAGUCGAACGGAAAGGCCCCUUUGGGGGUCCUCGAGUGGCGAACGGGUGCGUAACACGUGAGUAACCUGCCCUUGACUUCGGGAUAACUUCAGGAAACUGGGGCUAAUACCGGAUAGGAAUCCUUGCUGCAUGGUGGGGGUUGGAAAGCUUCGGCGGUUUUGGAUGGACUCGCGGCUUAUCAGCUUGUUGGUGGGGUAGUGGCUUACCAAGGCUUUGACGGGUAGCCGGCCUGAGAGGGCGACCGGCCACAUUGGGACUGAGACACGGCCCAGACUCCUACGGGAGGCAGCAGUGGGGAAUAUUGCACAAUGGGCGGAAGCCUGAUGCAGCAACGCCGCGUGCGGGAUGACGGCCUUCGGGUUGUAAACCGCUUUCAGCAGGGGCGAAGCUUGUGGUGACGGUACCUGCAGAAGAAGCACCGGCUAACUACGUG
rnacentral:rRNA from 1 species